rnacentral:rRNA from 1 species
CCUACGGGCGGCAGCAGUGAGGAAUAUUGGUCAAUGGGCGCAAGCCUGAACCAGCCAAGUCGCGUGAAGGAUGACUGCGCUACGGAUUGUAAACUUCUUUUGUCAAGGAAUAAAGUGAGGCACGUGUGCCUUACCGUGGGUACUUUAAGAAUAAGCAUCGGCUAACUCCGUGCCAGCAGCCGCGGUAAUACGGAGGAUGCGAGCGUUAUCCGGAUUUAUUGGGUUUAAGGGGUGCGUAGGCGGGCGGUUAAGUCAGCGGUAAAAGCCCGGGGCUCAACCCCGGCGAGGCGUUGAAACUGGCUGUAUUGAGAUGUCGAGAGGUAUGCGGAAUGCGCGGUGUAGCGGUGAAAUGCUUAGAUAUUGCGAAGAACUCCGAUUGCGAAGGCAGCAUACCGGCGGCGAUCUGACGCUGAGGCACGAAAGCGUGGGUAUCGAACAGGAUUAGAUACCCUUGUAGUC